AGUAAUGGCGCCUUCCCUCUCCCGCGGUCCAGACCUUCUCCCAGGUUCCCUCUGCCGUGGCUUCCCCUCCUUAGUCUGUGGUGUUCCCCUCCGUAGCCCGAGGUCCACUGCUCCUUAGCCCCUCAUGCCAUCUCCAGUUCUCUCCCUGGGACUGACCUCCGGAGCCUGAAUCUCAGCGCCCAGCCACUGCCCCAGCGUCUCAGGCUGUGGCGUCCCGGCCGGUGGUUCAGAUGGUCUGUGCGGCUCUCACUCUGCUUUGCUGUUCUCAGUCCAGCUGCUGUGCUUUUCCUGCCGACUCAGCUGAUCUUUCGUCAGUCAGGUGGCUUCCCAGGAGGAUAAACUUGGGACUAUGUCUAAUCACCUGGAUUCUUCACUCGCCUGACAAGGUGGACAAAAGGAAAGAAACACCAGGAAGAGGCAGAGAGAGAUGGCAGGUCCACCUUCAACAAAUUUCCUACGGUUUAACCAGUUCUGGUUGCCUGUGACUUGUACUGGGAGUUUCCUGAAAGAGGCACCAAUGCAGAUCGGAUGCUAGAAACUUUCCUGCAUGAUCUCCAGCUACUGAGAGCAGGUGAGCAAAUGAAACGUCUUGGAAUUAUUUGUACACACACACCCACCCACCCACAGAAGCUAAUAUCAAGACCCCUAAAAUUAGAAUGGAUACGUUAGAUUUAUGCCACUGGGCAACUUAAGGUAAAUUAAAUGGAGUAUCUUCUUACUUCUCCUAAGAUGGGGAUCCAGACUCCACCUGAUAUUUAAUUAGAAUCAUUCCAAAAAAAUUAGAAAUCACAGCCACUCUACAGACUUGAUAUUUCUAUUAGAAAUUAUUAGGUCAUGCUACCUGAAACUGAUAUAAUAGUGUAAGUCAACUACAUCUCAAUAGAAAUUAAUCAUAAAAUGAAUGAAGUUACAUUUAUGCAAAUAAAAAAGGAAAGAAAUUGGGGGAAAUGACAACAUUGAAAUAAUACAGUGUUGGGAGAUUUUUCUAUCAGAAGGGCUUUCUCUGGUCCCUUGGUGUGGGUGACAGGUCUAAUCUUGUUCUGCCAAUGACAGCCUCAGUUGGGACCAGCAGGAAGACGAUGAGACAAGUUCAUAAGUUCUUCCCUGCAGGAGGCCAGGCAGCCUCACCUACCCCAGGGUCACGGGCUUUCUUCCCGCCCUCGGAAGCUGCUGCAAAGCCUCGUGUCUGUGACAAAGGGUGGGGGGUCAGCAGGUGGAGCAAUACAAAUCCUCCUCUGAGACUGGAAGAGCAGUUCUUGGCCUUGACCUUGUGAGGAUGCUUGUCUCCCCCGCCACAAAAGCUGUCCCACAAAAGCUAGGUCCACUUCAGUUCCAUUCAUCUCUUGAGGAUUCCUUUUCAGCCUGCCCUGUGAGACAGUUUUAUUUUCCAUGAUUGCCAAGCCCUCGGAUCUAACCUCACCUUCUCACUCAAGAUCAGAGCCUUGUCUUCUACUCUGUAAGAACAUCCAAACUACCCCAUGCAGGUCUGCUCAACCCCUCACCUCUCCACCCGUGAUCCUUUGCAUAUCACUCAUUUGAGAGGAAGCCUGUAUUCUUGGCCACUAUUGCUUCUUCCUGCAACUUCAACUUAAUCAAAUCUCUAGGCCCUGGCUUCUUGCUUCUCUAGCAGCUUGUCUAAGAAAGAAGGUAUAUCACAAAUUAUAAAUCUGAAGCUCUAGACUAUACUCCAUGCCUUUGAAUCCUAGCCCCACCUCUAAUGAGCUGGAUGAUCUCGAGAAAGUUAGCCUAACUAAGUUUCCUUAUCUAACCCAUAAGGAUAAUAUUUCUGAUACCAUGAGUAGUUUGAGAAGUGGUUUUGAUUACAUUAGACAUUAAAUGCAUUAAAAGUUAAAAACAUAAUCUGCUACCUAAAAAGCACUCAAUAAAGGUGGUGGUUAUGAAGACUAUUUCACAAGGAACUUAAAAUGCUGCUUCUCAUACCAUAACAUCUCAAUAAUAACUGUGAGCUGGUAUUUGCUGUUAUUACCACUGUCAUCGUUUGGCUACCGCUCCUGACCAUCUUAUAACCAAAGGGCUGAUGGGGGACUCCCUUUGGAAAGGGAAUCAGCUGGAUUUGUGAUCACCCAGAUCUGGAUUCAGAUAGCAUCUCUGUUACUUACAAGUGUGUGACAUUUGUCAAGUCACUUGUAGGCUCUGGUUCUUAGUUUUCUUUCCAGACAAUGGGGUUAAGACAUCUAAGUGGAAGUGUUUGGGUGAAGAUGAGUAACACUUGAGUUAAAACACAUGGCGCUUGGCAAAUGUUCAGAAUUAUCACCAUCCUUCUGACUUUCCAGGUGAGGGCUUCUGAUAAAAUAUAAAUGAUUCAGUAAGGGAGGGUGUGGUAUUACUGACUAAUAGACAUUUUCCAUAUCAGCUGCUUUUACUUAUCUGUAGUAAUGCUGACUCUAUCAACAUAUCAAUGCAUAAGCAUCCAUUUUUUUAAAAAAAUUUAUUGGAGUAUAGUUUACGAUGUUGUGUUAGUUUGAGGUGUAUAGCAAAGUGAUUCAGUUAUUCAUAUGUAUGCAUAUAUCUAUUCUUUUUCAUAUUAUUUUCCCUAGAAAAUACAAAAUAUAGUUCCCUGUGCAGUGCAGUAGGUCCUUGUUGGUUAUCUGUGAUAAGCAUCCAUUUUGAAGAACUUCCAUUAUUGUAAAAGAAUACCUUUUUAUUUUUAGUUUGUAUCCAGCAUGGCAACAAUGGAACGCCCUUGCAUU
rnacentral:lncRNA from 1 species